CUACGGGAGGCUGCAGUGGGGAAUAUUGGACAAUGGGGGAAACCCUGAUCCAGCAAUGCCGCGUGUGUGAAGAAGGCCUGCGGGUUGUAAAGCACUUUCGGUUGGGAGGACUGCUUCUAGCACUAAUAUUGUUGGAAGUUGACGUUACCUUCAGAAGAAGCACCGGCUAACUCCGUGCCAGCAGCUGCGGUAGUACGGAGGGUGCAAGCGUUAAUCGGAAUUACUGGGCGUAAAGCGCGCGUAGGCGGCCAGAUCAGUCGGGGGUGAAAGCCCCGGGCUUAACCUGGGAACUGCAUCCGAUACUGUCUAGCUUGAGUACAGGAGAGGAGAGUGGAAUUCCACAUGUAGCGGUGAAAUGCGUAGAUAUGUGGAGGAACACCAAUGGCGAAGGCAGCUCUCUGGCCUGAUACUGACGCUGAGGUGCGAAAGCGUGGGGAGCAAACAGGAUUAGAUACCCUCGUAGUC
rnacentral:rRNA from 1 species